rnacentral:lncRNA from 1 species
CGGUGUACACUUAUUUAACACAUACAAUAAUAUUGAUUUAUGAAUAUGAAAAAUCAUAUAUUUUCAUAUAUUCAGUUAGACAAAGUUAUAAAUGGUUGGAUCACUCCUCUAAUCAGCAGAACAUGUCCCCUAAAGUGGAUUUGACGUGUAAUGGUUUCAUAAAUCUCAAGCAUUUUUUAUGGUUGGUGAUGCAUGACAAUCUCCCUACAAACGCUUUUAGAAGCUCGAGACAUCUUACCAUUAACAACACAUGUCAUAGGUGUGGCUCCAUUUGUUGAAGAUGGCAUGCAUACUCUUCGUGACUGUCCUAGAGAAAUGUAUAUUUCAGGUAACUUUCAUUCAAUCUUUCUGAAUGACCUCUUUAUGAAUGAUUGUCAAAUUUGAUUCAAACAUCAUGUUAUGCUUAACACAUGACCUCUUUUCGUAGUUACUUGUUGGGAGAUUCUUCGAUGGUUCAUGAUCUUAGUCACUCAUAAAAACAUCCAAUCCAUCGUCACAUUCGUUGGUAUCCCCCCCGUAAAUACUUAUUUAAAAGUUAAUGUGGAUGGUUCCUCUUUCGAUAACCUAGGGAAUGCGGGUUUUGGCGGUCUUAUAAUAAAUCAUCAUGGAGGAGGCUGGAUUCAAGGUUUUUCUGGCUCAUGCAGUAGAGCGUCAAAUUGGUUUGUUGAACUCUCGACAAAUUUGUGAGACCUCCAAUUAACUUGGGAUCUUGAUUAUCGAUCUAUUAUUUGAAAUCUGAUUCUAAAGCGGCUUUGGACUUGAUUGCUAUUGAUCAUCAGAAUGAAUUUCAUCAUCAUGCAGCUAUUCUUUUACUCAUUAAAAAGCUCUCCUCUCUUUAUUGGAUGGUUUCCUUUUCCCACACAUUGAGGGAAGGUAAUUAAUGUGUCAAUUGGCUGGCUAAAUAUGGGACCGACAACAUUGACACUCUGA